GAGGGAGGCUCGCUAGCAACGGAGACUGCUAAUCUCCCCGACCUUGGUUGAACCCCAAGGCUCACUCG
rnacentral:tRNA from 1 species